AUUGAACGCUGGCGGCAGGCCUAACACAUGCAAGUCGAGCGAGAAAGGUCUUCGGACUGAGUACAGCGGCGGACGGGUGAGUGAUGCGCAGGAAUCUACCUGGUAGUGGGGGAUAACUCGGGGAAACUCGAACUAAUACCGCAUACGCCCUACGGGGGAAAGCGGGGGACCUUCGGGCCUCGCGCUAUCAGAUGAGCCUGCGUAGGAUUAGCUUGUUGGUGAGGUAAAGGCUCACCAAGGCGACGAUCCUUAGCUGGUCUGAGAGGAUGAUCAGCCACACUGGAACUGAGACACGGUCCAGACUCCUACGGGAGGCAGCAGUGGGGAAUAUUGCGCAAUGGGCGAAAGCCUGACGCAGCCAUGCCGCGUGUGUGAAGAAGGCCCUUGGGUUGUAAAGCACUUUCAAUUGGGAAGAAAGGUUAGCGUGUUAAUAGCACGUAGCUGUGACGUUACCUUUAGAAGAAGCACCGGCUAACUCCGUGCCAGC
rnacentral:rRNA from 1 species